GUUGGCCUAGUGGUUAGAGUGCCUACCUUAGAAGCAUGAUGUCGAGGGUUCAAUCCCCAGUCGAGUCA